rnacentral:rRNA from 1 species
AAUGAACCGGCGAGUUACGUUAUGAUGCGAGGUUAAGUUGAAGAGACGGAGCCGUAGGGAAACCGAGUCUGAAUAGGGCGACUUAGUAUCAUGAUGUAGACCCGAAACCUAGUGACCUAUCCAUGAGCAGGGUGAAGGUGUGGUAAGACGCACUGGAGGCCCGAACCAGGACACGUUGAAAAGUGUUUGGAUGACUUGUGGAUAGCGGAGAAAUUCCAAACGAACUGGGAGAUAGCUGGUUCUCUCCGAAAUAGCUUUAGGGCUAGCGUCGAAAUGUAAGUGUAUUGGAGGUAGAGCACUGUUUGGGUGAGGGGUCCGUCUAGGAUUACCAAUCUCAGAUAAACUCCGAAUGCUAAUACACAUGUUCGGCAGUCAGACUGCGAGUGCUAAGAUCCGUAGUCGAAAGGGAAACAGCCCAGACCAACAGCUAAGGUCCCAAAAUAUAUGUUAAGUGGAAAAGGAUGUGGGGUUGCACAGACAACUAGGAUGUUAGCUCAGAAGCAGCUAUCAUUCAAAGAGUGCGUAAUAGCUCACUAGUCGAGUGACCCUGCGCCGAAAAUGUACCGGGGCUAAACAUAUUACCGAAGCUUUGGAUUGAUAUUUUAUCAAUGGUAGGAGAGCGUUCUUAACCGCGAUGAAGGUAUACCGUGAGGAGUGCUGGAGCGUUAAGAAGUGAGAAUGCCGGUAUGAGUAGCGCAAGAUAAGUGAGAAUCUUAUCCACCGUAAGACUAAGGUUUCCAGGGGAAGGCUCGUCCGCCCUGGGUUAGUCGGGACCUAAGGCGAGGCCGAAAGGCGUAGUCGAUGGACAACUGGUUGAUAUUCCAGUACUAGAUAUGAUCGUGAUGGAGGGACGCAGUAGGCUAAGAGAUGCCAGUUAAUGGAUUCUGGUCUAAGCAGUGAGGUGUGAGAUGUGUCAAAUGCAUUUCUCUCUAACAUUGAGCUGUGAUGGGGAAGCAACUACGGUUGCGAACUCUCUGAUGUCACACUGCCAAGAAAAGCUUCUAGCGUAAAGUCAUAUCUACCCGUACCGCAAACCGACACAGGUAGUCGAGGCGAGUAGCCUCAGGUGAUCGAGAGAACUCUCGUUAAGGAACUCGGCAAAAUAGCCCCGUAACUUCGGGAGAAGGGGUGCUGGUGUAAAAGCCAGCCGCAGUGAAUAGGCCCAAGCAACUGUUUAUCAAAAACACAGCUCUCUGCUAAACCGCAAGGUGAUGUAUAGGGGGUGACGCCUGCCCGGUGCUGGAAGGUUAAGAGGAGUGCUUAGACGUAAGUCGAAGGUAUGAAUUGAAGCCCCAGUAAACGGCGGCCGUAACUAUAACGGUCCUAAGGUAGCGAAAUUCCUUGUCGGGUAAGUUCCGACCCGCACGAAAGGCGUAAUGAUUUGGGCACUGUCUCAACGAGAGACUCGGUGAAAUUUAAAUACCCGUGAAGAUGCGGGUUACCCGCGACAGGACGGAAAGACCCCAUGGAGCUUUACUGUAGCUUGAUAUUGAAUGUUUGUGCUGCUUGUACAGAAUAGGUAGGAGACGUAGAAGAUUGGACGCUAGUCUAGUCGGAGUCGCACGGUGGGAUACUACCCUCGUUGUAUGAACAUUCUAACACUGGUCACUCAACGUGAUCGUGGACAGUGUCUGGCGGGCAGUUUGACUGGGGCGGUCGCCUCCUAAAAGGUAACGGAGGCGCUCAAAGGUUUGCUCAGAAUGGUUGGAAAUCAUUCGUAGCGUGUAAAGGCAUAAGCAAGCUUGACUGCGAGAGCUACAACUCGAGCAGGUACGAAAGUAGGACUUAGUGAUCCGGUGGUACCGCAUGGAAGGGCCAUCGCUCAACGGAUAAAAGCUACCCUGGGGAUAACAGGCUUAUCUCCCCCAAGAGUUCACAUCGACGGGGAGGUUUGGCACCUCGAUGUCGGCUCGUCGCAUCCUGGGGCUGUAGUCGGUCCCAAGGGUUGGGCUGUUCGCCCAUUAAAGCGGCACGCGAGCUGGGUUCAGAACGUCGUGAGACAGUUCGGUCCCUAUCCGUCGCGGGCGUAGGUAAUUUGAGAGGAUCUGUCCUUAGUACGAGAGGACCGGGAUGGACUUACCGCUGGUGUACCAGUUGUUCCGCCAGGAGCACGGCUGGAUAGCUAUGUAGGGAAGGGAUAAGCGCUGAAAGCAUCUAAGUGCGAAGCCCACCUCAAGAUGAGAUUUCCCAUUCGU